AGUGAACGCUGGCGGUAGGCCUAACACAUGCAAGUCGAACGGCAGCACAGUAAGAGCUUGCUCUUACGGGUGGCGAGUGGCGGACGGGUGAGGAAUACAUCGGAAUCUACUUUUUCGUGGGGGAUAACGUAGGGAAACUUACGCUAAUACCGCAUACGACCUACGGGUGAAAGCAGGGGAUCUUCGGACCUUGCGCGAUUGAAUGAGCCGAUGUCGGAUUAGCUAGUUGGCGGGGUAAAGGCCCACCAAGGCGGCGAUCCGUAGCUGGUCUGAGAGGAUGGUCGGCCACACUGGAGCUGAGACACGGUCCAGACUCCUACGGGAGGCAGCAGUGGGGAAUAUUGGACAAUGGGCGCAAGCCUGAUCCAGCCAUACCGCGUGGGUGAAGAAGGCCUUCGGGUUGUAAAGCCCUUUUGUUGGGAAAGAAAAGCAGCAGGUUAAUACCCCGCUGUUCUGACGGUACCCAAAGAAUAAGCACCGGCUAACUUCGUG
rnacentral:rRNA from 1 species